UUUCAGGCCUCUCUCACUUUUUCAAAGAGUUUACAGAAGGUCUGAUUCAAGAUAUUCUGACGCAGUCAGCUACGCAAGAAGGGUUUACUUUGAAAUUGAGAAAACAACUGCAUUUAAACUGCAUUCGUUUACAAGAAAGAUAUGCAAGUUGGAAACAGGCGUCAACAGGUUCAUUUUCAGACCGACCUGCAUAACAAAUUUUAAUUUAUUAACAGGUUCGUCUGGGUUCAGCCUGGCUAGUAGAUUAUGAGAAGGAACAUCAAAAAAAGUGUGUGAGCUUUGUGUUGACGACUGUCUCCAUUGCUUGCAUAGACUAUAAACCAAAGCAUUAGUAAAGUCAUGUCUUUCUUACUUGAUUCAGAUUGAAUACAUUUCCAUUACGUAGAAUGUCGAAGUCCAGUUUGAGUGUAGCAAUGCCGUAGGAGAAACCAAGAACAAGCUUGUAGUAGACUUGAUUGUCAUCUAUCUGACGAGUCAAAGCAGCUGACACGUCCAGGAAUCCCAUUAUGGCUCCUCUCCAGUAUAUCUUCAUGAAGGUAGGUAUAUGAAAGAACAAAUAGAAGUACACGAUACAUUUAAAUAUUUAUUUCUCAAUUGUCUUUAUUUUUAACAAGUGACUGAAAAUCUCAAUUUGUGAGAAUUUUUGUAGAAGUUGCUGAUGAAGGGUAAAGGUCAAUGGCUACACUGUUAAGUGUCAUAGGUAAAAGGUUUUAAAUGUCUUACACAAACGUUAACAAAGCUAGGGAAGCCUUGUAAAUGUUCACAGUGUAAUUUACCGUAGCAGUAUUUUUAGGGCAUUUUAUGUUGACAGAUAAAGUGGACUAGGUGAGACAGAGACUGGUUGCUUAAGAUGGUAUCAGAAGAUUGGUAUUAGAUAAAUACCUAUUGUCAUUGGAUGACGCAUCAUCACAGCAACACCAAUCAGAUGAGACCAGCCCAAAGUCAAAGGUAUAUAAGUGAUGAAGUUCAAACUCUGCAGCUGCAUGCAGCUGGUACAGAUCGGUAUUUUCAGGCCUCUCUCACUUUUUCAAAGAGUUUACAGAAGGUCUGAUUCAUAGUCUACUCAAGAUAUUCUGAGGCAGUCAGCUAUGCAAGAAGGGUUUACUUCGAAAUUGAGUAAACAACUGCAUUGAUUUGUGUUUGUUUGUCUGUCUUAUAUCUUAAUCCAUGUUAUUUUAUUAUAUGUUAAUUGUUGUUUGGUGUCUGUCUUUGUAUGUCUUGGUGUCCGUCGGGUACGCAGGCGAUUACGCCGCUCCGUCCGGCAUCUUUUGUGUUGUGUCUUGUUAUUUUGUAAAUUUGUUUGUUCUUUGUUGCCACGGGUACGCUGGCGAUUACGCCACUCCGUUCGGCACUGUCUGUGUAUGGGUUCUGUGCACGUGAAAUGCGCUAUGUUUGUAGUGGUUGUCUAAUGUCUGUCUUGAUGUCUGUACAGGAACGCUGUGCGAAUACGCCGCUCUGUCUGGCACCUGGCUAUUUUGUGUCAGUUUAAUUAUUUGCUUUUUGUAUCUUUUUCUUUUUCUUGUUUUAUUAUUUUGAUUAUUGUUGUUAUAUGUUUUGUGACUCAGGGCAUUGCUGUAAAAGAGCUUGAUGCUCAGUCAAUUUUCCCUGAAUAAAAAACGGUUGAUGAUGAUGAUGAUUUAAACUGCAUUUGUUUACAAGAAAGAUAUAUAGGCAAGUUGGAAACAGGCGUCAACGGGUUCCUUUCCAAACAGACCUGCAUAACAAAUUUAAAUUUGUUAAUGGGUUCGUCUGGGUUCAGCCUGGCUAGUAGAUUAUGAGAAGGAACAUCGAAAAGCUUUGCGUUGACGGCUGUCUCCAUUGCUUGCAUAGACUAUAAACCAAAGCAUUAGCUCAGUAAAGUCAUGUCUUUCUUACUUGAUUCAGAUUGAAUACAUUUCCAUUACGUAGAAUGUCGAAGUCCAGUUUGAGUGUAGCAAUGCCGUAGGAGAAACCAAGAACAAGCUUGUAGUAGACUUCAUUGUCAUCUAUCUGACGAGUCAAAGCAGCUGACACGCCCAGGAAUCCCAUUAUGGCUCCUCUCCAGUAUAUCUUCAUGAAGCUCAUCAGCUCAAAGACCGGCCCAUAGACUGGGUAAACCCAGCAGCUCAGGCUGGAAACCUGCACUCCUGUCUCCUGCUUCUCUUCCACUUUUGCUGGAACCAAUCACAAACUGGCUUAUCCACCAGGCGCACCCGGAUCGUUGGUCUGAUUGGUCAAAAGACUAUUCUAGCGUAUAGAGUCAUUUGAACGAUGCCGUUUGAUUAGACCUCUUGCGCAGUGGAAACACAGCACACUCCCCAGAUAAUCUCAAAAGAGAUUAACCAGCUCACUGACAGUAGGCUACAAAUGGACCAACCCUCAGGAUCAGAACACUACAUUGGGAUGUAUCUAGCACAGAUUGAUAUUCUCAUGUUUCUGUUCUUACUUCUUCAAUUCAGAGUAACAACAUGAGACUCAGUGAAGUUACAGUGACUAUUAAAAAGUAUUAACCCCCUUGGAUAUCUCCACUUUUACUGCUUUUAUAAAUGGAAUAUUGAUCGAUUUAACAGGGCCUUCUGCAACCUAUUCAAAUAGCCCUACAGUAAAGCGCUUCUUUUUUCCACCUAUAUAUAAUGAGCUGUGCUCUGAUUCGCUGCUGUAGCAUGUCAGUGUUGCCUGGCAUGUUAAGUGAAUAUUUACAUUAGUUCGCUAAUGUCAGAAAUGCAGGGGAAGAAGGACAAAAAAGUUUGGAAUAUUACAUUUCAGACGAAGCGGAGGAAGACAUAGCCUAUAGACGUGCUCUGACAUAGCCUAUAAUACGCACAUCCAUCAGUUGCUUGGAGAUUGUACUGUAAGCUGACACUUUGCAUCGUUAAGAUUGUAAUGUGUAGGGUUUCACAUAGCCAACAUAGCCAGCGUAAUUAUCGCAAUAUUUACUGUUACAAUCACAGGUUAAAACUGGCAAAGCUUGUUGAAUUUGCCAAAGUUGACGAGUCAUUCUUUUAGAAAUGUGCUGGACACAGAAAUAAUAAUGGACCUCUCCAAAAUGUAUUUGCAGCUGUUUGUCCCUAACCUCCAGAUAUUCAGCAUAUACUAAAAACAACACAUUGCUGUUCUGCCUGAAUUCUGUGGGGCGGUUAUUGAUCAAAUACAGGAAGGCAUGGAUUGGGCGAUAAUUCAGUUCCAUCCGCUAAAGAUUCAGGUUUUGGGCAAAAGCUACUGUAUAGAUGGAUCAACUUUUCACAUUGCCAUGAUUUCUCCGUUUAUUUCCUGCAAAAUAGAAACAUAAUACUUUUCUCAUAGACACUGUAUGUCUUACUUGAGUCAGAGAGACUGAUGUUCCGUUGCGUAAAAUGUCGAAAUGCAAUACAAGUUUAGAAGGCAUAGGUAUGGUAACAUCAAGACUGAAGUACGGAUCAUUCUCAUCCAGCUGAGGAGUGAGGUGUACUGACAACAGUGCUGUCAGGCAUAGCUGUAGAAAUCUUCUCCAGGACAUCUCGAUGAAGGUACAGUAUGUCUAAAUAAAAGAACAUAUAAGAGUAUGCUCGUCUUAAUUAUUUGUUUGUAAUUUUUUUGUCUUUUCCAACCUAUUUCUUCUGGACAUAAUUAAGCUGAAUUAUAACAUAAAUAUCCAUUUUCUCAUGUUUCCCAAUUUGAACUCCAGCUACAUCUUGACAUGUCUGAGACUGCUGGUUGUGGCUAAAAAUUACUUUCCCUUCACAGUGUUAUUCACAUUAUUCACAUUACUCCAUUGUGUACACCAAUAUGGGGUACACUGACAAUAUCACUAAUGCAUUUCUGCUACCUACUGGCGAAUUCAGAACAUAACAAUCCUAUGUGUGUGUGUACUGUACCUGUAGCCUCGUUUUGGUUUACAAUGGCCACCAUGUGAACAAGGCGUGUGGAAUUAACUUGUAAUUUUGCAACCAUUGUUGAAGUGAUUGUAUGAGUGACCUGAAGUAGUGUAAUGUAAAUCUAGGUAAAUGUUAUUUCACAGUGUAUAAAUGUAAUGUGUUGUGGUUUGAGAGGUUGUCGGUGCACUAAUUUUGGUUCCUGUUUCCCUAUCAACAUAUCAACAUUUUGGGAAAUUGGCUUAUUUACUGUUAAGAUGAUACAUACCCUUCAUGUCUGUGUGUGUGCAGUAAGGGGGCAAUCAGACAGAACACUGUUUUUUGUUGUUUGGUAUUGGCAGUAAACGUUUUACCUGCUGCUCACUGUA